rnacentral:tRNA from 1 species
GCUUCGUUGGUGCAGUGGUAGCAUGCCUCAUUUGGGUUGUUCUUUCUUUCUAGAUGAGAUCGCAGACAGUUGAGGUGGUCCUCGGUUCAAUCCCGGGACGAGGCC